ensembl:snRNA U6 U6 spliceosomal RNA
GAGCUCACUUCAGUAGCUCAUACACUAAAAUUGGAGGGAUACAGAGGAGAUUACCAUGGACCCUGUGUGAGGAUGACAUGCAAACUCAUGAAGCAUUUCCUAUUUUA